UGUAACUAUAGUAAAAUUUCCAUUAACGGUCACUUAUAUGUAACACUCAAUUUGUUUGGUCCCGUCGAGUGUAAUGGGAAAAAUACAUUAAUACUUCUAAAUAGCGGGCACUCCAAUUAACGGUCAACGUUUAAAAGUAUAUCAAAUAGAAAAUUAUUAUUUCGAAAUUAUUUUUGACAAUUUAUCUUAACGAACCUAAUUUAUGAUGUUGAUAAGGCAAUAACACUUGUCUGUGACUGUGUAUUUUAUCAUUUGUGUUCAGUGUAAGCUUAAAAUGUUUCAAAAUUAAUUUGGAAUAGGAAGAACUCAAUCCACCGACUUAAUACAAAAUAGAGAAACGGUUUUUAAAUUGAGGAAAUCGCAUGGUAAUGAUAAAAUGAAAACUAUAAAACGAAUCAGUCAAUAUCAACGAAGUUGUAUACGAAUGGUUUUGUGCAGCUCGUGCUAAAAAUAUUCCAAUCAGGGGACCAAUACUUAAAGAAAAGGCUUUAUAAUGAUUUGCGGCGAGAGUAAAUCGGUUGAUACGGAAACAGUGGACGAAUGGCGUAUAAAAGUCAAUUAAUUUCUUCUUAUGAGCCACAAAAUAUUUACAAUGCAGAUGAAACAGAAUUAUUUUAUAAAAUAUUAAUAAAACAUUAAGUUUUAAAAAUGAAAUUUGUACUUCUGGGAAAAAUUCUAAAGAAAAAUUGACGGUCAUGUUAUGCGUUAAUUUAAUAGGCGAAUUAAAAAAGCCACUAAUCAUAGGUAAAUCUAAAAACCUCAUUGCUUUAAGGAUGUGGCCAUAAAACGUUUAGACCUACAC